rnacentral:tRNA from 1 species
GCGACAGUGGCGUAAUGGUAGCGUAGAGGACUGUGGAUCCUCUGGCCCGGGUUCGAUUCCCGGCUGUCGCC